UUAGAGAUAGAGGAGUGCCUUCGGGAACGCUGAGACAGGUGCUGCAUGGCUGUCGUCAGCUCGUGUUGUGAAAUGUUGGGUUAAGUCCCGCAACGAGCGCAACCCUUAUCCUUUGUUGCCAGCACGUAAUGGUGGGAACUCAAAGGAGACUGCCGGUGAUAAACCGGAGGAAGGUGGGGAUGACGUCAAGUCAUCAUGGCCCUUACGAGUAGGGCUACACACGUGCUACAAUGGCAGAUACAAAGAGAAGCGACCUCGCGAGAGCAAGCGGAACUCAUAAAGUCUGUCGUAGUCCGGAUUGGAGUCUGCAACUCGACUCCAUGAAGUCGGAAUCGCUAGUAAUCGUAGAUCAGAAUGCUACGGUGAAUACGUUCCCGGGCCUUGUACACACCGCCCGUCACACCAUGGGAGUGGGUUGCAAAAGAAGUAGGUAGCUUAACCUUCGGGAGGGCGCUUACCACUUUGUGAUUCAUGACUGGGGUGAAGUCGUAACAAGGUAACCGUAGGGGAACCUGCGGUUGGAUCACCUCCUUA
rnacentral:rRNA from 1 species